UACAGAGGGGGCAAGCGUUAUUCGGAAUUAUUGGGCGUAAAGGGCGCGUAGGCGGCUUUGCAAGUGGCGGGUGAAAUCCCUCGGCUUAACCGAGGAACUGCCUGCCAGACUGCGAGGCUUGAGACCGGGAGAGGUGAGUGGAAUUCCCAGUGUAGCGGUGAAAUGCGUAGAUAUUGGGAGGAACACCAGUGGCGAAGGCGGCUCACUGGACCGGAACUGACGCUGAGGCGCGAAAGCGUGGGGAGCAAACAGG
rnacentral:rRNA from 1 species